UGACUCACACAAACCCCAAACAUGGCUGCACGGCAUUUCCGCUUACUUUCCUGGUGAAGAAUGAACAUCAUCACGUGACCAACAGCAGAAAUCGAGUUUCUCAGGAGCUAAGACAGGAGAACUCCAGCCAUCUAUGCACAGAGGAGGAUUAGCCUGAAUUUGGUCUGGAUUCUAUGUGGCCGAAGAACCAGAAGAGCUGAGGACCGAACCCAGGGCCUUGUACUUGCUAGGCAAGCGCUCUACCACUGAGCUAAAUCCCCAACCCCCUCUUAUUAUUCUUGUGGAAAAAAAAUCACGUUUUAUAGAUUUCUUCAAUGUCGCAACUGAAAGCA